rnacentral:rRNA from 1 species
AUGUCAACAUGAGCUAAUUUAGGCCUACAAAAUAGUGCUUCCCCACUAAUAGAGCAAUUAACCUUCUUCCAUGACCACGCUAUGCUUAUUCUAAUUAUAAUUACCAUCUUAGUAGGGUAUAUCAUAAUCAUACUGUUCUCCAACAUCUACACCAACCGAUUUCUACUUCAUGGACAAACUAUUGAAAUAAUUUGAACCAUCUUACCAGCUAUUGUUCUGCUAUUCAUCGCAUUCCCCUCACUCCGAUUACUUUAUCUCCUAGAUGAAAUCAAUGAACCAAUUAUUACACUAAAAACAAUUGGUCAUCAAUGAUAUUGAAGCUAUGAAUAUUCAGACUUUAUCGACCUAGAAUUUGAUUCAUACAUAGUUCCAACAAAUGACCUAUCCCUAGAUGGAUUUCGUCUCUUAGACGUUGAUAAUCAUAUUGUUCUCCCCAUAAACACCCAAAUCCGAAUUUUAGUUACAGCUGCAGAUGUAAUUCAUUCAUGAACUAUCCCAGCCCUAGGCAUUAAAGUAGAUGGGACCCCUGGUCGACUAAACCAAACAAAUUUUACUAUUAAUCGACCAGGACUAUAUUACGGACAAUGCUCUGAAAUUUGUGGAGCAAACCACAGAUUUAUACCAAUUGUAAUUGAAAGCGUGCCCGCCACUUACUUCAUUAAAUGGCUA